UACGUAGGGGGCUAGCGUUAUCCGGAUUUACUGGGCGCAAAGGGUGCGUAGGCGGUCUUUCAAGCCAGAAGUGAAAGGCUACGGCUCAACCGUAGAAAGCUUUUGGAACUGUAAGACUUGAGUGCAGGAGAGGAGAGUGGAAUUCCUAGUGUAGCGGUGAAAUGCGUAGAUAUUAGGAGGAACACCAGUAGCGAAGGCGGCUCUCUGGACUGUAACUGACGCUGAGGCACGAAAGCGUGGGGAGCAAACAGGAUUAGAUACCCUGGUAGU
rnacentral:rRNA from 1 species